rnacentral:rRNA from 1 species
CCUACGGGCGGCAGCAGUGAGGAAUAUUGGUCAAUGGACGAGAGUCUGAACCAGCCAAGUAGCGUGAAGGAUGACUGCCCUAUGGGUUGUAAACUUCUUUUAUAAAGGAAUAAAACGAGGCACGUGUGCCUUUUUGCAUGUACUUUAUGACUGAGGAUCGGCUAACUCCGUGCCAGCAGCCGCGGUAAUACGGAGGAUCCGAGCGUUAUCCGGAUUUAUUGGGUUUAAAGGGAGCGUAGAUGGGUUGUUAAGUCAGUUGUGAAAGUUUGCGGCUCAACCGUAAAAUUGCAAUUGAUACUGGCAGUCUAGAGAACAGUUGAGGUAGGCGGAAUUCGUGGUGUAGCGGUGAAAUGCUUAGAGAUCACGCAGAACCCCGAUUGCGAAGGCAGCUUACUAAGCUGUGACUGACAUUGAUGCUCGAAAGUGUGGGUAUCAAACAGGAUUAGAUACCCCGGUAGUC